rnacentral:rRNA from 1 species
UACGAAGGGGGCUAGCGUUGCUCGGAAUCACUGGGCGUAAAGAGCGCGUAGGCGGUCCGAUAAGUCGACUGUGAAAGUCUAGGGCUCAACCCUGGAAAGCCGGUCGAUACUGUCGGACUAGAGUCCGGAAGAGGCAAGUGGAAUUCCCGGUGUAGCGGUGAAAUGCGCAGAUAUCGGGAGGAACACCAAUGGCGAAGGCAGCUUGCUGGGACGGUACUGACGCUGAGGCGCGAAAAGCGUGGGGAGCGAACAGG